GAAGUUGAUUGAACAGUCACUGUAAAAAAUAAUUAUACACAGAGGAAAGUCCGGGCUCCACAGGGUAUGGUGCCAGGUAACACCUGGGAAGAGUGAUCUUACGACUAGUACAACAGAAAAUAAACUACCUAUUAUAAUAUAUGUAAGUAUACAUUACCUGCUAUUUUAAAUAGGAAAAGGUGAAACGGUGCGGUAAAAGCGCACCGCAAAAUUGGUAACAAUUUUGGCACGGUAAACUUCCACCUGGAGCAAGGUCAAGUAGGAGAGUGUGGCCCGCACGUUACUCCGGGUAGACUGCUAUUAUGAAUUAAUAAGUAAUUAUUAAUCUAGAUAAAUGACUGUUUUAAACAGAACCCGGCUUAUAAGUCAACUUCAUAA
rnacentral:RNase_P_RNA from 1 species